UACGGAGGGAGCUAGCGUUGUUCGGAAUUACUGGGCGUAAAGCGCACGUAGGCGGCUUUGUAAGUUAGAGGUGAAAGCCUGGAGCUCAACUCCAGAAUUGCCUUUAAGACUGCAUCGCUUGAAUCCAGGAGAGGUGAGUGGAAUUCCGAGUGUAGAGGUGAAAUUCGUAGAUAUUCGGAAGAACACCAGUGGCGAAGGCGGCUGACUGGACAUGUAUUGACGCUGAGGUGCGAAAGCGUGGGGAGCAAACAGG
rnacentral:rRNA from 1 species